UUUAGUUGCAUCCACAGCGUGGAAUCCCUGAAAUAAUGUACGUUUUCCGCACACACCGCGUACUAAGGUCAACAAAAUUCUUGUGUGAACAAUUAGUUUGUUAUUUGGCUAGGGACAUCAUAAUUAUGGUGGUAUAACAAAGCAUAUAAUUAAUUCACAUAAAGACAUUGAUUCACAUUAAAACGUUUGAACCUGCCCCAUCAUCCAAUAACAGCGGGAAAGGACAUGAUGGUGGCUAUCUUGAGGUAUGACAGCGAUCAUUAAACAGCACUAGGAGCUGCCAGUGUGUUACAUAUUUGAAACCCUGGGAUUUCUUCUGUGUCAAACAGUAGCUCAGGCUGAGGCGGUCAGUGUUACAGUAACAUUUGGUAUCAAUUAUUCCAUCCAACAACGUAGCACGUGUAUGUAACCUUCGGCACAAGUGCAGAUGUGUCUACACAACAAAGUAGGAAAAGGUAUGUGAGCCCUCCGGAAUUUGUUACAUUGCCUAAAUUGGUGAUAAAAUGUUGUCUGAACUUCACCUAAACCUAAAAAACUAUUUCCACACAAAGAAUGUUUUCAUGUUUUAUUUUUUAUGGAGUCACAGUACCAGGGGGCACUCAUGAGUAAAGGCAUCAUUGUACUUGUUUUAUUUAGGAUUGUGCUAAAAUGUUUUACCCAUGUAAAUUAUCUUUACAUUUAAAAGCCACCUUUGAUAUUGUAAAUUCCUGGUUUAUGCCCACAAAUUCCAGUUAAAUUCCCAGGGAACAUUUUGAAUUUUGAAACCCUUUUUUUUUUAACCAGCUAAACACAAUUUCUCUAAAAUUUCCACAACUUCAUAUAUCUAUGCAGAGACACCAUGUUCAGUUAAUCACACAAACUGCAUGUUGAGUUAGUGCCAUUAACAUGAAUUCUGUUUGGAAAAACUCAGUUAGUGUGCAUCUGUUACCAUAUUCCAAAGAGAAUUUUUAUUUAGGGUUGUCAAUAAAUUGAGAUUGGCGAGAGAGUCAAAAUUUCCAUAAACCACCCACUUUAGAUUGAUUUUAACUUGUGAGUUCAGUCCUCCUACGCUGAUGUGGGACUGAGCAGAUGGUGUGCAUGGCUUGAUGGAAUCCACACUUAACCCCACAGAUACACAAUAUCAAUCAACGUUCAAUCUGACAUUUUAGAAGGGGAAAACUCACGCUGUGUGGGAAAGAAAAGGUGCUUUAUUAUUUUCAAACAGGACUGUUGUUAGGCAAUAUGGCAUUACUUGGGCUCGAUGAACACCCAUGUAGCUGGAAAACCAUCAAGUGCCCUAAAAUAACUACAAUAAAAAUUGACUAGUAAAAACUGGGAAUGGAGUAUCUUUUCACAGUAAAUACAAUUUUGAUUUGUCCGUGACCAACCUUGUAAGUCAUCUUACUCGUAUACAAAAAAAAAUAAUUACCAUUGAAAUUAUAUGAAAUUCCACUAAUUCGUUUAAGGGCCAAAACUCUACCAUAGUUAUUUGUAUGUUUGGAAAAAAGAAACUAGAAGUUAGAAAAACAAUGAAAACAAACAAAAGAAUGUAAAGAUAGAAAUGGGUUCUAAAUGAAUAAUUAUUGUAAAAUGGCACAAGCUGAAAGUCAUGUUAACAUGUCAUCCAUUGAAUCUGUGCCUUUCAGGUGUGUGGCCUAGUCAGUGACAUUAACUUUUCCCCAUUGUACUCGAUCGGCGGUGUAUAGGAAACUCAUUCAUAACUCAAAUUUUUGCUCACAGCACGAGAGAAAAAAAUAGAUUAAAAUAUUAACCAAAUGAUAGCUAGUUAUUCAAAAAGCCACUUAGGUACUCAGUUUAAUUCUACUAAAUAGGCUCAUUCAUUAUUUGGGUCCUGCCUUGAUAAGUCAAUCAAAAACUCAAACACCAGGUAUAUUAUCCACUUGAAUAAUGCUAAUGCCUUAAUGCCUUAUCUCAAACACUGUAGAAGUACAUCAGUUUUUCCAAUGCAAUUGUCCUAGCUGGGUGUAACUGAGGGGCAGGGUUGGAGAUCAUUUGAAUUUGAGCGAUUCAGGUCUUGAUUCUGACUUCUUAUUUAGAUUCUAAACAACUAUCAAUUCUGAUUCUUUGCAGGGCUGGGUCAAAUAAGUUUGCAUGGUUUAAAUAUGAACAUCAUCCAUUUUCUGAGCAGCUCACAGCAUAGAUUAAAGUGAAUACAGGUAUUUGAUUUAGGCUUCUUUAUAAACAGUAUCAGAAUAUGUGGAAUUCAUCCAAUUGACUUAAUAUUUAUUCAUUAAUAUUUCAGCUAAAAGUUAAAUAUAGCACUGUUAAAAUUAUUAUUUUGGGACUGUUUUAUCACGUCAAUUGGUUGUUUUACCCUGACUUUCUUUUUUAAGAUUGUAGCCUUUUAUCUUGAAGCGUGCGCACCAGACCUCAGCAUUUUGGAACAAAAAGUACAUUCAUGUUCAUUUUUGUAAUACUAUGGUUGAAAAAAAUGUUUGUAAAUUUUGUCCUAAUUCAUUGUAAUGUAAAGUUGCUAUGGUGAAGUUUUAGCUCAAUGUUAAGUUAUUUUUAUGUCAUCGAUUCUUACGUUGGUUUGAUUCAAAGCAAAGCAAAUGUAUUUAUAUCACACAUUUCAUAAACAAGGGAACUUAAUGUGCUUUACAUGAUUAAAGGGGUUUGACAAAUGAAACAUUUAAAACAGGGAAAAACAAAAAAUGACAAAAAAUAUAUAAAUUAAAAAUGAAAAUUAAAAGUAAGUUAAUAACAGAGUAAAGUGCAAAAGAUAUCAUUAAAAGUUAAAAUACUCGAAAAAGCAUGAGGAAAAAAAAGAGUUUUCAACCUGGAUUUGAAAACAUUCGCACUUGGAGCUGACGUCACAUCUUUUGGCAACUUCUUCCAUUUGUGUGCAGGAUAAUAUCUAAAUGGUGCUUCACCAUGUUUGCCUUCCUUGAAGACUAAAAUAAACGCUAAAAACCAUCAGUGCAAGUGCGCAACCAACGGUUUACCUUGUUAGCUGUCUCAAUGUGAGCGUAGAAGUAUCUUAUUGUGUCAAUCACUCAAUAGCGUUGACUUCAUUGAAGCUUCAUGCAUUGCAGGCUGAGGCUUGGAGCACGUCAGACACUACAAAUUAGGAAAGCCUCAUAUGAAAAAUAUAAUCUUGCACUGAGACAAGUGGUUAUUGUUUUUAACAAAGACACUUUUGUUCACCCCUGUUGGGCACAAGCACAUCUUUGUGCAUGCCCUUUGAUGGAUUUCGCUACUUUUUUGUUGGUUUUCGCCACUUUUUCCCAUCGAGGCCAGUGGACUAGACAUCAAAACUGGGAACCGAAGUUUUUAAUUUGAACAAUUACAGUAGAACCCGAAUGUUCCAAAUGUUUGUGCUGCUGGUUACAAUCAGUUCUCAAUUCCCAACCCUAUAGCAUGUGUCACUGAAGAACAUAACACAUAAUGCCUGCCAAGUAGACAUGUAUGUAUUUCUUUCGGCUUGUCCCGUUAGGACAGCGUGUCAUCUCAGAUGAAUGCUCAUAUUUGUUUGGCACAGUUUUCACACCGGAUGCCCUUCCUGACGCAACCCCCUCUGCAUUUAUCCAGGGAGAGAGCUGGAGCCGAUCCCAGCUAACUUCGGGCGAAGGCAAACUACACCCUGAACUGAUAGCGAGCCAGUCAAAGGCAGGUAUCAACACUGAGCAGGAAUCGAUCCCACACUGCCUGUACCAAAGUUCAGCUUGAGCCAUGCUGUAAAGUCACCUGACAUGAGGGCAGUGUUGCUGACCCAGAGGAGUCUUGGUGUUCAAAUGGGGUCCAAUCUGUGUUGGAAAGCAGUCCUGAGGUUCACUGAGUGCAGACUGUGCUGAGGUUAUUACAGUCUUUGUGGUAGACCUGGACAUUCGUCUGCGGGGGAUGUAUGAAGCAAUAAGCAGCAAGAGGAGAAGAUGUGGUGUGACUCACCGAUGUGUGUAUGUGUGUGUGUGGGGGGGGGUUGUACAUGUGCUUAAUGAUGGUGUACACGCAGUGUAGUGUUUUCCCCCCUUGUUGGACAUGCUGGUGGAACUCCAUGAGUAGUCUUCAGAUUGAUCCUUUUAAAGUCCCCAGCUAUAAUAUGAACGCACUUGGGGUGAGCUCGUUGUUGUUCAUUGAUGACGUUCAACAAUAGAGAAUGCACAGCUUUAGCGUUAGCAUCCGAAAUGUCAAAAAAACAAAGACAAACUAUGAAAAGAAGCACUGAACCACUGAUAGGGAGAACCAUAAGCUGCUGCAUCCGCAUGCAAUGCCAUCAUUCCCAUCUUUGCCAUUGUAGGAAAAAGGCAGGAGAAAUAACGUAAGAAAGGAAUUAAAUUAAAAAGUAAAUUAAAACAUUGAAAUAUAUAUUUCAGUUUAGUAUUAUUAAAUGACUUAAAAUGAUCAAGAUCCUGUUUCCUUCACUUACAGGUUUAAUUUGUUCUGUGACAAUGCUUGGAAUGCACAACACUUGAAUCUCAAUUUAUCAUUCCCUAUUGAAAUGAAUAGAAAUGCCAUUAAUCCAUUCCAGCCCUUGUGCUCCUUCAAGAGUCUGUGCACUGGGAGGGGAGAAAACAUUCAAAUAUGACUGACUGUAAGUCGUUAUGUUGUUGUUUUUUUGCAGUUGAUAAAGAAUAUAUGCCUGUGAGUAUUAUCUGUCUGCAUAGAUCACCCUUAUAACACUGCCACAGAGAUGCAACUUGUUAGCCUGUCGAUGGCAGUUUAUAUUGUGUUUUAACUUUAAGAUA